CAGGAAAAAGGGGAGGAAAGAACGAAGGGGAACAGGAUUAGAGAUGAGAUGAAGGAUGAAAGAAAACAUAAUCCACUUUCAACAACCUGAGACAAAAUAUCCGUCUCUCCUUGAGCUCAUUUGUUUGCAAAUCUUAGAGGAUUUAACUCAUAGUAAUCUAUCAAGGAUGUUGUUGAGGAUGUGGAGAGUAUAAAUAUGAGCACAUGAACAGGAUGUUUUUGAGUUUAGUCUUCUGGCAAAUUACUUUGACCUCUCUUUGAUCACAGACUAACUGUCCCCAGCUUGUCCCCAUUCUUUAUAGGAAAGAACAAAGAUGGGACAUCCGUCACAGAGGCUACUCACUACUCAGUUGGCUCAGAAGACAUGCCUUGGCUCUGCCACUGAACUCCACAACAUGCCGGCAUGCUGGCAGUGGAGAUUGUUUCCACGUGUCCACCCCUUAUCCCCAGAUGCCCCGUGUCUUCUUUGGUUAUUGUUUGAUCCAGACAGAGUUUCAUCAGCUCAGUUUCUGGAUCAGUGGGCUUAGGACAGAUCCAAGCCUGGAUAGGCCUUUCUGGGUCACUCAUAACAGACUAUCGCCUCGACGUCAGGCCUCUUCUCUCUCAAAAAUAUUUCAGCUGUAUGUUUAUGUAGACAGCAACUUAUCAAAAAACACCUCCACAGAAGAUUUGUUUAGAUGUUUAGAUAAGUCAGCAGCCUUCUUUCGCAGAGCUGUAGGGAUUAAGAUUAUUUACAAAAAUGUAGGUUAAGCACUUUCAGAAAAAACUGUUCCAGGUUUGAAUGCAAUCAGUAAAAUGCCAAAUUAUGUUUGCUUUACGCCAUUCUAGCUUAUCUGGCUAUUCCAAGUGUUAAAAAACCAACCUAACUGUACUUGUUUCAGAUCAGUUACACUGGAAACCUUUUCCCUAAGCUACGCGGCAGUGGACACUUUGGUGGCACGUGUUGGCAGGUUACUGAGCACGAUGUUUCUCAGAAACACAUCAGGUUACCAGGACACUCAUGGUUUAUUUGUGUAUAUGUAUACACUAUUACUAUCAUGGGAGAUUUGCAGGUUAUCCUUUCAUCUUUUCUCCCGACCCUGACCUGGAUGUAGGCCCAGAAAACACUCCAAAUCCUAAAAUAAGAGCUGCUUGAGAAAAGGAGACAAGUAACCAAGAUUAUAUGUUUAGCGUGUGUGGUACAGUAUUGUUAACCCCUUAAAGCCUGAAAUAGAAAAUAAAGCAGGAAAAUUCAAUUUUUUUAUUUUUAAAUGAAGAGUUUAUUGAACCAUCUGACAAAUUUGUUAAAAAAAUUAAUACAUUUUAAUUUCAGUAUACGAUUUUUUUUUUAAAUUUGUAUUGUAGUUGCUUUUUUAUCUGGCCUUUUGAAAAAUUGCAUAAAAAUUUAUUGUGCAGCUCAUUUAGGUUUUUCAUGUUGGGGGGGGGGGGGAGGGGAGGGAGUGUCACUCUGAUGAUGUAUUAGUCUCAAAAACCCACAAAAAACUGCACGUAUCAAAUAUGAUACACUAGGAUGUGUCUGGGUUCUGUUAAUGAAGGAGCGUUUUACACAUUCUGUCAAGAUAUCGAAGGAAUGGAGAGUAAGGAUACAAUUUUACACUGUAAAGUUGCUAAAACGGUUGACUAGUAAUAGCAACAUGCAACCAGCAGAUGGCAGCGUUGCUUCGUUAUAGGGAGUCAGUAUCAAAGAGCUGACGAACAAAAACUCUGUGCUAGUCACAGACCAAGCACAAAACGAGACCAUUUUCUAUUAGAUAAGCAAUGAAAGAAUAAAUCUGUCUUCUAUUCUCUACAGAUGAUGAACACUUCUUCAAGCGAGUAACAAUAGAAAACCAUUAAGCUACUUUGCAAUGUAAUGAAUAAUUUUGUCACAGGCAAAACACAAUGUCUCAAUCAAGGACACACAGUCUCUGUAGGAAUCAAUGAAUGGUGGAGAUAUUCACUAAGGCAGCGACACACAAUACAGUUUUUUCAGAUAAGCAGGAAACUACACUCGUCUAUCUCUAUAACUGAGCCAUGAUAUGCCGGAAACUGGAAUAUGAUACCAGAGAGAAGAUCCAGUGGGACUGAAACCAUACAUCCACCUUAAAUAGAUGUCUAAACCAUGACCUUGAAUAAAAGUGAACACAGAGAGCUCAGCAGCAUCUGACACAGUUUCCUGGACAGCAUAUGCAUUAUGAGGUUGCAAUAAGAUGUUACUUAUAACUGCUAACAUGAAAAUCCAUUACAAGCUCAGCAUUACAAAGUGUUCCUAUGCAGGUCAAGUAGCACCCCAGUGGGUGAUAAUCUGUAUCACUGAACGAAUGAGGUCAUAAAAAUGAUGCAAUCCCCGUGUGUCUAAAGUGUGUGUCCGUAUUUGUGUGGGAGUGUGUGUACGAUUAUCCUCAUUUACUUUGCUCCAGUUCUUCUUCAUCAGACUGACUCAGGGGACCAGAAAGAGGAGAAGAAAGCACUUCUGACCUUAAACCAGACUUAAAUGCCACUUUUAUUUAUGGGUGAUUCCUGUUUAUUGAACUUCUACACUCUCAAAAGACACAGGCCCCGCUGAGUCAUAGUCGGUCAUAUUUUCUCAUUAAUUUUCAGUUAUUAAGGGUUUUUUCACCGGAAGGGCCCAAAUUGCUGAUUAAAGGUAAGUGGAAAUGGCUGCUUGAAAGGGCAAUUAGAACAUUUUAAUCACAAAGAGUGGGAAAUAAAACUGGGGCCAUCUAAAUGACGUUUAUAAUUUGAACAACAAGAAGGAGAAGAUUAUUUUUCAGAGGAUUUUAUUCCUUUAAAAAUAAAGGGUAAACAUAAAGCUUCAGGAUAUAUAGGUAACAUAAUUUCAGAUUUCUCUAUAAAACAUUUUCUGAUAAGUUUGCAUCACUGGAGAAAAUCAGCUUUUUAACUUUUUUUUUUAACUUUUACUUUUACUUUGUCUUAUCUUUAAAUUCUCCCCUCACCUCAGAAUAUAUAAAAGUUGUUAUGAAUGCAGUAGCAGUGUGCAGAAUGUAGCAUCUCCUUCCCAGAGAAGCAAGGCCUUGAUCAAAAACAGUGUGUGCAUAUACAGUAGCAUGUGGCAGGGAGCUAGUCUUUGAAGAAAAGACCUGCCAACCCCACAGAGAGCAGCUAUAAUUUCCUGUACAGCAACAGCACUACUGAAAUAUGCUUAUCCACUGUGACCAAUUAGAGACAGUUUCCAUCACAGAGGGAUCCUGACUCAGGCUUUCCUCACCAAGAAGCAAACGUGCUCUGCUGAGUGGGGAGUGCCAGCAAGAGACAACACAGCACGCAGCAGGGAAAGCUGCCUUAAUCAGGGUGAAAAUGACGUUGAUGAGACAGAUUUGAGAGAGCAGAGAAGAUCUACUGGCAGGCCAAACAAUCAUCAGUGGAGCCAUAAAGUGGAUCUGGCCAGGGCCAAAAGCCAGAGGUAAGGGACUAUACGCCCCCUAUUACACCCAUCGGUUUCUUGUUGCCUCUUCCCAACCCUGGUGGUAUGUUUUGCUCUUGACUGCUCUGCUGACGAAAUGCCACUGACUUGCAAAAGAUCACUGGCACUCUCGGCUAGAAAUCCACAGCACCAGGCAGACGUCUAGUCUGUUUUGUCACCCUCUUGUUCUCUCUGUCUCUCUAAAUCUAUCUACAUAUGGGAUAAGCUGUUCCUGCUCUCUGGCUCCCUGUAAACUGUCAUUACUGGGUUCUUGUUUCUACUCACCUUGAGUCUCAACAUAGCGCUGAAUCAGUGGGGUAUCAGAUUAUGCCAAGAGAUGGCUAAAAGAACCUCUAGAUUCCCACCUCAAUGCCAAAGUGCCUUCUAUAGAGCCAUUCUCUUAUUCCCAUAGUGAAGAUAAAGUACAUAUUAAUUCCUCCAGAAAUAGAGGUGAAGGUUAUAGCGUAUGCUUUCUGUUUCCCACAGAGUGUUGCAUUGUUACAUAACAGAAGUAACGGCACGAGCAUUAACAGCUGGCCUGCAUGUCUCUUCGCGAAACACUGCAGGUGCUAGGCAGUCACAUUGUGCAUUUUUUUAAACUAAGAGUUAAAUUAUUAAAACAACCAACUUCUCCAAAUAUAAAUGAUUUUUUUCUUUGUCUUACUUGGCUUUGGCAUCAGCAUCCUCAUGGCCUUUGCUGGAUACAUCCUCCAAACCCCCAAUCAGGUGCUUGAA